rnacentral:rRNA from 1 species
UACGUAGGGCGCAGGCGUUAAUCGGAAUUACUGGGCGUAAAGCGCGCGCAGGCGGUCUUUUAAGUCAGAUGUGAAAUCCCCGGGCUUAACCUGGGAACUGCGUUUGAAACUGGAAGGCUAGAGUGUGGCAGAGGGGGGUGGAAUUCCACGUGUAGCAGUGAAAUGCGUAGAUAUGUGGAGGAACACCGAUGGCGAAGGCAGCCCCCUGGGCUAACACUGACGCUCAUGCACGAAAGCGUGGGGAGCAAACAGG